CCUACGGGAGACUGCAGUGGGGAAUAUUGCACAAUGGGGGAAACCCUGAUGCAGCGACGCCGCGUGAGUGAAGAAGUAUUUCGGUAUGUAAAGCUCUAUCAGCAGGGAAGAAAAUGACGGUACCUGAUCAAGAAGCACCGGCUAACUACGUGCCAGCAGCCGCGGUAAUACGUAGGGGGCAAGCGUUAGCCGGAUUUACUGGGUGUAAAGGGAGCGUAGACGGCAGCACAAGUCUGGAGUGAAAUGCCGGGGCUUAACCCCGGAACUGCUUUGGAAACUGUGCAGCUAGAGUGCAGGAGAGGUUAGUGGAAUUCCUAGUGUAGGGGUGAAAUGCGUAGAUAUUAGGAGGAACACCAGUGGCGAAGGCGACUUACUGGACUGUAACUGACGUUGAGGCUCGAAAGCGUGGGGAGCAAACAGGAUUAGAUACCCGGGUAGUC
rnacentral:rRNA from 1 species